UUUAUUUAUUAUAUUAUUAGUGUUUGAAAAUUCUAAUACUAGUAUUAAGAUAAACAAAAAUAUCAGAAAUAUAUUUAUACUCAUUAAUUAUUAUUGCUUUUCUUAUUAAUUCCUUCAAUGUCCUGGCACUUUGACAUCUAGUGCUUCUCUGUCUAGCAGCCAAAAUUGUGGUCUUUCUGAAUGUGUAUGUCCUAAGUCUUCAUUGAUGUAACUAGCUAUAUAACAUCAAAAUCUGCAUCUCUCUCCCUUCUCACCCAGUUGUCCCCGUACAUCCUUUCAGUAUCCAAAGAAUUUCAAUUUACAUCUUGUAAUCACUUAACUAAUGCAGUGCAAUCCUCAUCUCUGUAUUUUACCGUGUGGACAUACUCUUUCCUUCCAUGUUCCACUGUCGUAUGUUAUUCCACAUCUAAUACAACCACAUCCCAACAGAUCCGAACACGUUCGAUAUCAUCCAAGAGAAUGUGGCAGAUGAAGGGGAGAGUCCAAGAAAGAGGCCAAGGGUGAAGACAUUUAGCCACCCCCUGAAGUACAUGGCAGCAUCCAACCCUCUUGCUAUAUAGACUGCAGGAAUGUGCUCCCCAUUGCAGUGCACCAGCUCCAUGUACUGAUUUUGGGUGUGAACUUGAUGGGGUUGGAGGAAACUCGACUCGGCCAUCAAGCUCACCACAAUAUAACAUGAAAAGUGAAAAUUGCUGCACAAAACAGUCUGUCGUCUGCACCAGGAGGCAAGGCAGCUCAAAGCCCAGGCUGUUACAACUCCUGGGCAGUUUUUGCCCAGAGCCAGCAGUUUUUUAGAUCCAAUAGGGGUGGAUUAUUUCUGAGGUCAGGUUCAACAUGCUGCAAGAUGCCAAGAUCUAAGCCUAGUAGGAGAUAUGGGUUACAAGAGAGGAGGUUUGCUCUGGCCUUAUACUAUCAAAGUCCAAAUGCUAAUAGAUUUCUAAGCACAGUAUUUCACUUGCCUUCAAUUUCAACACUUCACUCAUGACUCAGGGGUAUUUCAGUAAAUGUUGGCUGGAGCAAACAGAUUCUGACAGCCCUGCAGCAAAGAGCACAGGCUUUGUCAAAAGAAGAGAUACUUCGUGGGAUUUGCCAUUAUUUAGUAUUACUCUUGUUACGCCAAGAAAUUUUUUUACAUAUAUUUUGUCAAAUAUUGCAAGUAAUGCACCAUUGUUGGUCUUGCCUGUUAUAAAUCAGAUCUUGUUCAAUUAACAACCUUUGGGUGUUUGCCACUUUCCAGUUGUAAUGCAAGGAAUCAUUUAUCUCCCCUGCCAGAUAUCACAUGUAAUGCACCAUUGUUGGUUUUGCCUGUUAUAAAUCAGAUCUUGUUCAGUUAACAAGCUUUCGGUGUCUGCCACUUUCCAGUUGUAAUGCAAAGAAUCCCCUGCCAGAUA